rnacentral:rRNA from 1 species
CGUGUAGGCGGUCAGGUAAGUGGAAUGUGAAAUGCCCCGGCUCACCCGGGGACCGGCAUCCCAAACUGCCUGGCUUGAGUAUGGGAGAGGAUGGAGGAAUUCCUGGUGUAGCGGUGAAAUGCGUAGAUAUCAGGAGGAACACCGGUGGCGAAGGCGUCCAUCUGGCCCAACUACUGACGCUGAGGCGCGAAAGCUAGGGGAGCAAACG